rnacentral:rRNA from 1 species
AGUAAAAGUCGUAACAAGGUUUCCGUAGGUGAACCUGCGGAAGGAUCAUUACAGAGUUCAUGCCCUCACGGGUAGACCUCCCACCCUUGUGUAUUUAUACAUUGUUGCUUUGGCGAAUAGCGCGAGUCACUCGCACCUCAGCCUUCGGGCUGUGAGGUUUCCUUAUUCGCCAGAGGAUACCAAACUCAUAUUAAUUAGUGUCGUCUGAGUACUAUAUCAAUAGUUAAAACUUUCAACAACGGAUCUCUUGGUUCUGGCAUCGAUGAAGAACGCAGCGAAAUGCGAUAAGUAAUGUGAAUUGCAGAAUUCAGUGAAUCAUCGAAUCUUUGAACGCACAUUGCGCCCAUUAGUAUUCUAGUGGGCAUGCCUAUUCGAGCGUCAUUACAACCCUUAAGCCUUGUAGCUUAGCGUUGGGAAUCUACCCCUCACUGAGGGGUAGUUCCUUAAAUUUAGUGGCGGGGUUAUAGCACACUCUAAGCGUAGUAGUUUAACUCGCUUUCAGGGAGGCUGUAGCUGCUUGCCGUAAAACCCCCUAUAACUUAUAGUGGUUGACCUCGGAUUAGGUAGGAAUACCCGCUGAACUUAAGCAUAUCAAUAAGCGGAGGA